rnacentral:rRNA from 1 species
UGGGGAAUUUUCCGCAAUGGGGGCAACCCUGACGGAGCAACGCCGCGUGAGGGAGGACGGUCUGUGGAUUGUAAACCUCUUUUCUCAGGGAAGAAGUACUGACGGUACCUGAGGAAUCAGCAUCGGCUAACUCCGUGCCAGCAGCCGCGGUAAGACGGAGGAUGCAAGCGUUAUCCGGAAUUAUUGGGCGUAAAGCGUCCGCAGGCGGUUUUGUAAGUCAGUUGUUAAAGACUGGGGCUCAACCCUGGGAGUGCAACUGAAACUGCGAGACUAGAGUACGGUAGGGGUAGAGGGAAUUCCUAGUGUAGCGGUGAAAUGCGUAGAUAUUAGGAAGAACACCAGUGGCGAAGGCGCUCUACUGGGCCGAGACUGACGCUGAUGGACGAAAGCUAGGGGAGCGAAUGGGAUUAGAUACCCCCGUAGUCC